ACCUGCUCACCCCUCCGCGCUCCGGCCGCGGGCUGGGCAGCCCCCACCCAGAACCCUCUGGAGCCCCCAGGAGACCACCCUGUUGUUUGUUGACCUUGGCAACUGUUGCCAGAGCCCGGGGUUGUGAACCCCAGGCCGAGGAGCGUGGCGCUGGUGGAGAGCCCCAGGCAGCAUCCCGGGCCCGGGACUCCCUGCUGCUGUCCCCUGCGCCCACCUGGCGCCUGAUGCGACCUGCAGCUUCCCUUCCCGGGUGGCCCUUGAGCUGUGGCCACCCUCGGUGUCUGGCCACAACGGGUCCUGUGUCCCGGGGCGUGGUCCCUCCUGGCCUGGGGUCUGGCUGGGAACCCACCAUCUCACUGCGUUGGCCCAGUGCCAUUUAUCUAGCACUUUCCAAGAGCCAGCCUCUGCCCGCUGCUGGGGAUGAGACACAGGCCCCUAGGUACCCCCCAGUCCUGGCGGCACCUACACCAGGCUCGGUGGGCAUGGGGGUGGGCGGCGCCUCCCGCCCCGAGGACGGAAUCUUUCAGUGGAAGCCAGGGAAUGGCGAAGGGCCAGCAGGUGCCUGGAGCCACCCGAACACCCAACACUGACAUGGGGUGGAGUCAGCCAGGCCGACCCCCAGGGCUCCCCUCUCCCCGCAGAGAAAGAAGGGGUGCAGGCAGGUGAGCACUGGGUUUGUAGGAGGAAGAAGCAGGGCAGGACUGCGUCGGGGUUGGGGGGGGGAUCUCCUGGGGACCCAGGAAGUGGGGAGAGGCAGAGGGGGCGGCCGGCCCCAGGGGCACUGCGCCCUGCUCCCCAGUGCAGCGAGCCUCAGCCUGUGCCUCCUGCUGCCUGUGGGCGUGGGGCCCUGCGGGGAGCAGGGGUGAGGCUCUGGGAGCCAGGAGAGGUGAGUCCUCGCCACACACAGCCUCUAGCUCCCUCCGCCUCCUCUCCACAGCGUGCAGGUCGCUGCUCAGGCAUUUACAAUGGACAAUUUGCUCUCAAGGUAGAAGAGAAUACAGGCCCUCCAUCCUGUGAAAUCCCUACCGUGAGCUAUGACACUGCUCAAAUGGAAAAGGCUAGAGCCACACAGGUUCAUUAUGUACUGGAAACAAGCGCCUUGUGGGAAGUAACUAUUUCUAGAAUGAUCUCAGUUUUGUUAAAAACUGGAAAGGGAAACAAAGAUUUUUUUUAGAGAAAGAUUUACUUAUUUUAUUUGAAAGGCAGAGAUACAGAGAGAUUCAGAAAGAGAGAGAGAGAGAGAGAGAGAGAGAGAGCGAGCUUCCACCUGCUGGCUCACCCCCCCCCCCCCAGUUGGCUGCAAGAGCCAGAGCUGAGCCAAUCUGAAGCCAGGAGCUUUUCCUUUCUGGAAGGAAAGACAGAUCCGAGGUGAGUUUUGGCAAGAACUGAGUUUUAACUCCGCACUGAACCCCAAGGCUGCAGUUUCACCCUGUUCUCUGCAAGGUAUGGACUUCGCUUCCAGAGAGGGGAGCCAAGCUCCAUCGUCAGACAGACAGGCAGGCAGAAGCCCAGAAUCCAGACUCGCUCUUCCUCACCUUGCCGGACCCCCUCCAUUGCCAACAUCGGCCACAGACUCAGCAGAGCCCGGGCUGUGGCGGUUUCCUGUUGUGCAGAUGACCAGGAAGACAACGGCUAGAGCAACAGGCACGUGGAAUCCAACCUUCUGUUCAGUCUCACAAGGUUGGGAUCAAGGUCACCGGCUGAGCCACCUUCUCCUCUGGAGGCUUGACUGGGGAAGAAUCUGCUUCCUGACUUGUUGAGGUGAGGUCUCCCACUCAGACGCGUGCUCACCCUGAUGUGAGGACUUCAAAGGGCACCUAGACGGAGUUCCAGGCUCCUGCCCCAGCCCCUGCAGCCAUUUGUGGAGUGAACCGGCAGAUGAAGAUCUCUCUCUCUCUCUCUCUCUCUCUCUCUCUCUGCAACUCUGCCUUUCAAAAAUAAAUCAAUACAUACAUUUUAUUUUAAAUGGGGAGGGAGAGGCGGUCCAGGGAGACUGCAUCUAAAGAUGAGUUGAUUUUGGUGCCAAACCCUUUUGAAACCCAUGAACUCUUCAAAAAGUUCAUGAAAACGCUUGUUGUGAAAAGACUAUGCAUGGAUGUGGAAAGUCUUUGCCCCAGAAUAAACAUGCAGUGGCCCAACUGUACAACUGGUCUCCCCAUCCAGGCGAGGUUGGCUCAGACGCACGGAGGGGGCCCAUAGAGCCCAGGCGGUGCCCGCCAUGGCUGCACCAAGCAGAACAGUAAGCCACGUGCGCAAGGUGACUGAGGGGGAAGCUAGGCAGCCCUGUAUGGUGCCUGGGGCGGGGUUCCCAGCCAGGCUCAGCCACGCCCCUGCCCACACCCCACACCUGCCUGUAGCCCCAGCAUGGUCUAUGGUCUGAAGUUCCUGGAUCUAGCAGGAAGAGCCCGUUGCCGUGGCAACCAUGGGGGCUGCGGGGGCUGCAGGUGCUUUGGCCAGUGCCCUCCACCUGCAGUCCUGGGGCCGGCCUCGCUGGCUGGGCAGCGGGCACUGGAGGAGACUGGUGUCCCGGCUGUUCUUUGGGCUUGGUGGUGGAGGGUUGAUUAAGGGUGCAGGGAAAGUGAAGCAGGAGACAGAGAAGGGGGAUUGGGGACAAGUCCCUGCGCUCCAGGCCCCCAGGCCGGCCCCCACUUUUCCUCUCAGCAUCUUGCAGGCACCUCCAGGGGAAUUUUCUGGAAUGCAGCAUGGCGGCACUGGGGUUGUGAGUUCACCGGCUCCUUACGGGAGGGGUGGGGACUUCGCAGCCAGGCCACUGUGGUUGUCAGGGAUGAGUUGUAGGCUCCCCACGCCCAGGGGCAUCUCGCGGGGCUCGCUUCCCCGGGACAAACUCCGAGCAGGGCCUCCGCUGGCCUGGACCCCUUCAUCUUUGCUCCUGCGGCGCCAGCAGCAGCCGUGCUUGGCUUGAGUCUCCUGGUUCUGGAACCUUCUGUGGUCACCACGCUGCAAGUCCCUGGGGUCCUGCUGGGUCUGGGGCUCUCACCGGCCCAUUGCACUGCCCUCCCUGGCCUUCUGCCCUCACCUGGUACCUCCCAAGCCUUCAAGCCUUUGGGCUGUGGGGUUGCAAUGAACCUUGGAUUUUCCAAGUCUUAUUUCCUGCACACCUCCUGCCUCCAACACUUGACGUUUUCCUUCAACUGUGCCAUUCUUGGAGGGAGGGAGGGAGGGAGGGAGACCCUCCUCCCUUCCCCUGCAUCAGCAGUCCAGGGAGAAGCCAGCUCACCCCCAGGGGCAGGAGCCCAGACAGCGCCGACAGCUGCCCCCUGCGCCCCGGAGAGGAGCGUGCACCCAGCAGCAGGCACCUGCAGAAGACACUUGGGCCGCCCCAGGCGUCGGAUUUCACAUGCGCCAAAUGUAGAAAGCAUUAGCUGUUUCCCCCAAUAAGCUCACAUCUGUAGCUCCAUUCUGACGGGGAUAAAAUUACCCUGGUUAUUAAUCCUUAUGCUCUAGGGUAGAAGCUGAUCACCAGCUGGGGUCAGGAAAAAACGCAGCUCCAGCCCCUGGGCGCCGCCUCCCCCCAGCCUCACCUGCCCCGUGUCCCGCAGUGUAUGGUUACAACUUCGGUCUCCAGACAGGGCUCAAGGCUGCCAGCUGAGAUGCCUUGAGGCUCCAGCCUGCUCUGUGGCGAGCGUGUGGACUGAGCAUCUACUUAGGAUAAGGCACCACUGGGCUCUCCUGUGAGGACACAAAGACCCUUGUCUUUUUUAUGCCAAGAACGGCUGAAACUGGGAUGGGUACUUGGCCUAGUGGUUACGAUGUGCACAUCCAUAGUGGAGCCAAUUCCAGUUCUGCACCUGACCCCAGCUUCCUGCUGCCAAAGGCUCUGGGAGGCAGCUGGUGAUGGCUCAAGUGGUUGGGGUCUUGCCACCCAUAUGGGAAACCAGGAGGGUGUUCUCAGCUUCUCAACUGGUUGCUAUGGGCACUUGGGUGGUAAACUUGUGAAAGGAAGAAUCCUCUCUCUCUCUCUCUCUCUCUCUCUCUCUCUCUCUGCCUCUUACUCUCAAUAAAUGAAAUUUUUCAAAAGCAAAGCUAAAGUGACUGAAAAGCUAAAUGUGGUUUCAGGGACCCCCUGCUCUGGGUCUAUCCGAUGGCCAGCUGGGGAAUGGACAGUACCUCCGUGCCUGCUGCCAACAAGGAAUGGGGCCAUUUCCACCAGCCUCGAGCUUCUGAGACCGCUCCCUACCGUGAACCCACGGGCCAGGCCAUUCGGGUUCUGUCUCUGAGCCUUUCUCUUUAGGCCUCAGUCUUCAGGCCCUGGGAUGUCCAGGGGUCUCAAUUGCCCUGAGUGGGACCAAGAGGUGAGAGCGUGUUGAGAGCCAGGGCUGAGUUUUGCUGGACCAUCAGGUCUGGAGGCUACAACACAAAACAAGGGACAGCCCUGAGUGUCUGUUUUCCUCAGACCUGGGCUCGCGUGGGCCGGCCACGUGAUGUAGCAUCCAGACUGGGAUUUCUCAGUAAUGCCAAGAGGCGCUAUUGGUAAUGCCGUGGAAUUUUCUGGCGCAGGCUGGCUUGUGUUUGUUCCACCUCAGGGGCGUCCC